CCUACGGGUGAGCUGCAGUGAGGAAUAUUGGUCAAUGGACGAGAGUCUGAACCAGCCAAGUAGCGUGAAGGAUGACUGCCCUAUGGGUUGUAAACUUCUUUUAUAUGGGAAUAAAAUGUUCCACGUGUGGGAUUUUGUAUGUACCAUAUGAAUAAGGAUCGGAUAACUCCGUGCCGGCAGCCGCGGUAAUACGGAGGAUCCGGGCGUUUUCCGGAUUUAUUGGGUUUAAAGGGGACGUAGGUGGAUUGUUAAGUCAGUUGGUAAAGUUUGCGGCUCAACCGUAAAAUUGCAGUUGAAACUGGCAGUCUUGAGUACAGUAGAGGUGGGCGGAAGUCGUGGUGUAGCGGUGAAAUGCUUAGAUAUCACGAAGAACCCCGAUUGCGAAGGCAGCUCACUGGACUGCAACUGACACUGAGGCUCGAAAGUGUGGGUAUCAAACAGGAUUAGAUACCCCGGUAGUC
rnacentral:rRNA from 1 species